rnacentral:tRNA from 1 species
GCCCCCGUAGCUCAAGAGGAAGAGCAGCGGCCUUCUAAGCCGCUGGCUGUGGGUUCAAGUCCCACCGGGGGUG